rnacentral:rRNA from 1 species
CCUACGGGAGGCAGCAGUGAGGAAUAUUGGUCAAUGGGCGCGAGCCUGAACCAGCAAAGUAGCGUGAAGGAUGACUGCCUUACGGGCUGUAAACUUCUUUUAUAAAGGAAUAAAGUGAGGCACGUGUGCCUUUAUGUAUGUACUUUAUGAAUAAGGAUCGGCUAACUUCGUGCCAGCAGCCGCGGUACUACGGAGGAUCCGAGCGUUAUCCGGAGUUAUUGGGUUUAAAGGGAGCGUAGAUGGGUUGUUAAGACAGUUGUGAAAGUUUGCGGCUCAACCGUAAAAUUGCAAUUGAUACUGGCAGUCUUGAGUACAGUUGAGGUAGGCGGAAUUCGUGGUGUAGCGGUGAAAUGCUUAGAUAUCACGAAGAACUCCGAUUGCGAAGGCAGCUUACUAAACUGCCACUGACAUUGAUGCUCGAAAGUGUGGGUAUCAAACAGGAUUAGAUACCCGAGUAGUC